UACAGAGGGGGCUAGCGUUGUUCGGAAUUACUGGGCGUAAAGGGCGCGUAGGCGGCCCUCUAAGUCGAACGUGAAAUCCCCGGGCUCAACCCGGGAACUGCGUCCGAUACUGGAGGGCUCGAAUCCGGGAGAGGGAUGUGGAAUUCCAGGUGUAGCGGUGAAAUGCGUAGAUAUCUGGAGGAACACCGGUGGCGAAGGCGGCAUCCUGGACCGGCAUUGACGCUGAUGAGCGAAAGCUAGGGGAGCAAACGGG
rnacentral:rRNA from 1 species